AUUUAUUUGAUGGUACCUUACUACAUGGAUACCCGUAGUAAUUCUAGAGCUAAUACAUGCGUCAAGUCCCGACUCUUUGGAAGGGAUGUAUUUAUUAGAUAAAAGACCAAUGCAGGCAGCUGCUCUCUUGGUGAUUCAUAGUAACUUUAACGGAUCGCACGGCUUCACGUCGGCGACAGUUCAUUCAAAUUUCUGCCCUAUCAGCUUUCGACGGUACUGUAGUGGACUACCGUGGCAUCAACGGGUGACGGAGAAUUAGGGUUCGAUUCCGGAGAGGGAGCCUGAGAAACGGCUACCACAUCCAAGGAAGGCAGCAAGCGCGCAAAUUACCCAAUCCUGACACAGGGAGGUAGUGACAAAAAAUAACAAUACCGGGCCUUUUUAGGUCUGGUAAUUGGAAUGAGUACAAUUUAAAUCCCUUAACGAGUAUCCAUUGGAGGGCAAGUCUGG
rnacentral:rRNA from 1 species